rnacentral:rRNA from 1 species
CUGAGGAAACUUGGAUUAAUACCUUAUAAAACAAUCUUUUAUAAAGAAAUAUUGUUAAAAUUUUAUAUGGCAUAAAAUAGGCGUAUGUCCGAUUAGUUAGUUGGUAAGGUAAUGGCUUACCAAGACAAUGAUCGGUAGGGGGCCUGAGAGGGCGUACCCCCACAUUGGUACUGAGACACGGACCAAACUCCUACGGGAGGCAGCAGUGAGGAAUAUUGGUCAAUGGAGGCAACUCUGAACCAGCCACUCCGCGUGCAGGAUGACAGCCUUAUGGGUUGUAAACUGCUUUUGUAUAUGAAUAAAAAAUUCUAUUUUUAGAAAAAAUUGAAGGUAAUAUACGAAUAAGUAUCGGCAAACUCUGUGCCAGCAGCCGCGGUAAUACAGAGGAUACAAGCGUUAUCCGGAUUUAUUGGGUUUAAAGGGUGCGUAGGCGGUUUUUUAAGUCAGUAGUGAAAUCUUAAAGCUUAACUUUAAAAUUGCUAUUGAUACUGAGAGACUUGAGUUAGGUUGGAGUAGCUGGAAUGUGUGGUGUAGCGGUGAAAUGCAUAGAUAUCACACAGAACACCGAUCGCGAAAGCAAGUUACUAAGCCUAGACUGACGCUGAGGCACGAAAGCGUGGGUAGCAAACAGGAUUAGAUACCCUGGUAGUCCAUGCCGUAAACGAUGAUCACUAACUAUUGGUUUUUUAUAAUUCAGUGGUCAAGCGAAAGUGAUAAGUGAUCCACCUGAGAAGUACGACCGCAAGGUUGAAACUCAAAGGAAUUGACGGGGGCCCGCACAAUCGGUGGAGCACGUGGUUUAAUUCGAUGAUACGCGAGGAACCUUACCAAGACUUAAAUGUACUACGAAUAAAUUGGAAACAAUUUAGUCAAACGACG